rnacentral:lncRNA from 1 species
GUGGAAUUCAUUGUGAAUUCUUCUAUAAAUUGUUAAAAAGGUUUUGUCUGCCUUUCUCUUUCUGUUCAGGCUGAAACUAUGGGUGGGGAACGUGAGCGACUAAGCCAGCGGAUCUCAGAACUCACAGAGCAACUGUCAGCUGCAAAGACAACCAUUCACAGCCUGGAGACAAUUAAUGUCACCUCCAUGCUACAGGAAGCCCUAGUAAAGCAUUUCAAGUCAGAUGAUCCCCUGAAACCAUUCAAACCUCCAGUUGCGCCUCCUCCUGUUCAGUUUAUGGACAGCGAUCAUUAUGACAAAGGCUCAGUGACUGGGGAUGAGCAAUUGCUGGGGACUCUUCCAGAAGAGGAGGAAUCUGACUGGUCAGAAAUGGGGGAUGAAUCACAACACUAUGCUCUGAGAAGUUCAGAUGGAGGCCACCAUGGUGGCACAGCCUUUUUGCCAUGGCGGCAGGGGCACGGCCAUGUGGUGAGGGCAGACCAGUAUGGAAGGGGAGAUGGGGACACUGAGAGUGAAUCUGGGGGUGAAGAGAAUGUCAGAGGUCAUGGACUACAAAUACCUCACCUCCAGUUCACCAUACACCCCGAGACCCUGCCUGUUCCACUGGCCGACGCCAGUUUGACCCGCUUCAAGCAAAGUCACGGUGGUCCAGCUGGAGACAGUCGCCACUUUCCCCCUGCUGGCCGGCACCUGGGCUCUCCCCUUCGCAUCCUCUCUGCUAGCCUGGAGGAAAUAAACUCCACCGGCCUGCAUCAUCAUGAGCGCCACGGCCAGUUAAAGUGCACUGAAGCCAUGAUGGACCUCCACCGUCCACAAGGAGGCAUUGCUGAGGAUUCGGAUGACGAGGAACUUGUCCGUAACUGGAAGAGACCAAGCAACCAGGGUACUGAAGGUGGUGGGAGAGGGGCUGGCAAGGGGGGUUCUGAGCCAGUAGGCAGUCUAGCAACUCUAGAGUCAGCGCAGAGGAUGCUCAACCACUUUAUACAAGGCGGAGAGAGGACACAGCUCUGAAAUACAAGGUAUUGGAUAAUUACAAGGUAAAGAUAACAUGCCCAUAUGUUGCCUAUAUGGGUAGCUCAACUGGGAGCAAGAAAGUUUUAUCCAUGGGUUCCAUAUAGGCCUCACAUUGGAUGGGCCUAGGAGCGGUCAAACAUGUGCUCUACCUGAGUUCCACACUGCACAUGGGGCCUAGAUGGGGGAUUAAUCUGUGCUUUAAGAAAGUAAAAAGUAAAUACAGGAAGAAGGUCCUGUGUUCUGGAUUAGUGCAUAUUUCUGUGCAGUUUAACUUGGAGCAUCGGCAGAGAUGGCAUUUGUUCAUAGCUGUGGCAAGUAUCUCAACUAUAUACCAGGUUAAACUGCACCUGCAGAAUGCAUUGAACUUAAAUUUGUGGAAUACACAUGAUUGUUGGUUCGGAUUAAGGUCAGAUCAUGCUUGUUUAGGACCUGACCAUGACAACCUACUCUCAAAGGUAUUGAUGCAGUUCUUUAGGUCCACGUAUGGGUGUGAUAAUUGUAUUCACACCCGCUCAAAGGAGUCGCAUCAAGAGUGAAAGGGAACCAACAAAUUAUGUUAAUCUCUGUUAAACUGCCAUGUUGAGUGUCAUGUUUGCCAUGAUUCCUAAUUUAAACCUGUGAAAAAAUUACCACAUGAAUACACUCAUGCAAAUCCUUUUGAGAAUGGAACAUUAGUCUACCAUUUAUUUGCCUAAUUUUCCAUAUUUAAAAAAAAACAUGAAAGCAUAAAAAGUGGAUUGUACAUAUGCAGCUCUGGAAAAAAUUAAGAGACCACUUCAGUUUCUGAAACAGUUUCUCUAAUUUUGCUAUUUAUAGGUAUAUGUUUGAGUAAAAUUAACAUUGGUAUUUUAUUCUAUAAACUACAGACAAAUAUUUCUCCCAAAUUCCAAAUAAAAAUAUUGUCAUUUAGAGCA